rnacentral:pre_miRNA from 1 species
AUAUUACUCCCUCCGUCCGAAAAUACUUGUCAUCAAAAUGGACAAAAAGGGAUGUAUCUAGAACUAAAAUACAUCUAGAUACAUCCCUUUUUAUUCAUUUUGAUGACAAGUAUUUCCGGACGGAGGGAGUACUAC